GAUCCGCAGCUGACCGCUCACUCUCUUGCUUCAGUGAUCUGCCAUGAGCUCUGCAGCUCGAUGCGUGCACGUGGCUUUUGCAAGCCCGAGUAAACUUAACCCUUUCUUAGCAACACAGAAUUUUUAAAGCACAAUUCUUCCUCGAGAGAAAGAAGAAAGAAAACCAGAAAGUACAUGGAACAGACACUGCAUGAAGUCAGUUAGAUGAGACGUGAAAGAACUAAUAAUAUUGGAAUAGGUUUGAAGAAGUGGACAUCUUUAACCAGACUCUUUUAAGCAUUCAGAGGACCACGAAUUUGCCAGCAGCCAGAAGUGGACGGAAGACAGAGAAGAGGCUGUAGGUUACAGGUAUAAAAGAUGUUGUUGGAAGAAAGAUUACCGCCUCACACUCCACCAGCUUUUGUUACUGAAACAGUAGUAUCUGAUGGGAUUUUGCUGUGGGUAAGGAACCAUUGAGGUUUCUUCUGACUUCAGAGCCAAAAAUACACUCAUAUGACAACUCCCUGUCUUUCUCUCCACCAUGACCAUUUUUUGGUAUAACAUUCUUGAGUCCAGUUCAGGGCUCUCCAGUACAAGGGAAAAAAUUACAUAGUACGGAGAAUCCUAAAAAGGGCCACUAAGGUGACUAAGGAUCUGGAGCAUAGCCAUGAGGAAAGGCUGAGAAAGCUGGGACUAUUAACCCUAAAGAAAAAAUCCAGGAGGGAAUUUACCAAUCCAUAUAAAUACCUAAAUGGAGGGUGCAAAACCAAUAGAGUCAGACUCUUUUCAGUGGUGCCCAGUGGGAGGACCAGAGGCAAGGGGCAGAAACUGAAACACAGGAAGUUCCCUCUGAACAUCAGGAAAGAGAUUUUUACUGAAACUUCUCCUGAAAAAUCAGAGAUCAUCAGAACAAUUUUUCACUUUUGUUGAAAUCAGUGGGGAAACUCCAGCUGCCUUAAUUGGGUUACAACUUUCACUCUCUCAUGUUUUAAAGUAUUUCAGUUUCAGUGUUAGUAAAACAUAGAGAAACCUUUGAAUCAAAUAAUGAAACCCUCUCCUCUCCUAAAAAAAUAGAAUAUUUGGUACCUGUGAAAAUAUUUUUUUACUGGUAGGGUGACCAAGAUCUGGAAUGGGCUGCACAGAGAACUUGUGGAGUCUCUCUUCUUGGAGGCAUUCAAAAGGUGGUGGACAGCAUCCUGAGCAACCAGGUGUAGCUGGACUUGAUUAAUCAAAUUAAACAAAUGAACAAUAUUGAUCAGUAAAAUAAAUAUAAAAUUUCAGUGAAUACUGAACUUCUGAAAAAGCACUGUAUAACCAUAUAUAACAUUUCCAAAGUGUUUUUUCUUUUCCAAGUAAGUCUUAUAUAUUUUCUUGUCUGAGACCUGUGGGAUGCAUAGCAACAUUUUAUAUUCUCUCAUAUGUUUAUGUAGGCUGAAUUUUUUUUUGUUUGUUUUUAAAUUAUAAACAUUAAAUAUUUCUGGGUUUAUAGAAAUAAAUAAGGGGGGACUAGGUUGUGAAAAAUAAAUUCAGAGUGUUCACAUAUCUUUCAUAGAUGCUAAAAGUGAAAGCUCCUUUUGAAAAGCCAAUGAAUUUUUUAUCGUUUACUUCAUAUCCAGCUUAAUUUCAAUAACUGAGCUGUUUAUUCUCUCUGUAAUAGAUCACUAAAUCAUCUCUUUCUCUAUUAUCAAGUUUGUGCUUGUAAUGAGAGAAAGUUUUGGUUGGUGUUAUAAAGUUUGCUUACAAAAAAGACUGUUCAUAGUAUAUACUACUCAUCCCUGGAUGUGAAAUGUGGUUUCCAAGAAUCCCGUUUGCAGUAGAAUUUUUAAAUGCUGAUCUAGUUUGUGAAGCAAUAGAGUUGCAUUUAUCCAACUGCUCCUUCCCCUUGGAAUGUGGCAAUAUAGUAACUCAGCUCCAGUACUUGCCUCUGUUAAACAAAUAAUCGAUAAUUUGGGUUACUCCCAAUGGAAUAUUUAGUUGACUAAUCCAUUUCCAUAAAAGUCAAAGUCAGAAGAAAACAACAAAGAAAACAUGCAUCCUUUUCUCCUUAACUUUAAGGUACUACUUGUUAUUUUCCAACAGUCAGUUUUAGACAGAGGCAAGUAGGGACAUUUAAAGAGUAAUUUCAGUUUAAUUUACAAGUGAGUUUUGGAGCAGAUGUCUUUGUUUUCUUCAGCACACACUUUGAAUGGAACUUAUUGAGAAGACAAAGAACUUGUUGAGAAAUCCAUGUUUGCCUGGCACCCAUACAGCUGAUGGAUGUACAGUUCAAAGUGAAGUUGUUUUGAAAGACUUAAUGUGUACAUCACAUUCCCAGUACCAGCUGUUCACUCUGCAAGCCCAAUCCUAUUUAUCUGCAUUACUUGCUAUUGUGGACAUGUUCAGUGAAUCCAGUUCAGUUUGGGCACACAGUAACUGCACAUGUGCAACACAGAUGGCAAAUGAAUAUGAACAAAUUACUCCACAUUUUUAAACAUGUUGACUUAUGGAUACCUACAGCAUGUUCAAUGGGAGUGAUCUGUCCAUGCCUAAUGGACAUUUCUAUGGGUAUUGAACAACUGUCCAAACAGACACAGCCUUUACUCCAGCUGGGA